rnacentral:rRNA from 1 species
CUACACAUGCAGUCGAGCGGUAGAGAGAAGCUUGCUUCUCUUGAGAGCGGCGGACGGGUGGAGUAAAGCCUAGGAAUCUGCCUUGGUAGUGGGGGAUAACGUUCGGAAACGGACGCUAAUACCGCAUACGUCCUACGGGAGAAAGCAGGGGACCUUUCGGGCCUUGCGCUAUCAGAUGAGCCUAGGUCGGAUUAGCUAGUUGGUGAGGUAAUGGCUCACCAAGGCGACGAUCCGUAACUGGUCUGAGAGGAUGAUCAGUCACACUGGAACUGAGACACGGUCCAGACUCCUACGGGAGGCAGCAGUGGGGAAUAUUGGACAAUGGGCGAAAGCCUGAUCCAGCCAUGCCGCGUGUGUGAAGAAGGUCUUCGGAUUGUAAAGCACUUUAAGUUGGGAGGAAGGGCAUUAACCUAAUACGUUAGUGUUUUGACGUUACCGACAGAAUAAGCACCGGCUAACUCUGUGCCAGCAGCCGCGGUAAUACAGAGGGUGCAAGCGUUAAUCGGAAUUACUGGGCGUAAAGCGCGCGUAGGUGGUUUGUUAAGUUGGAUGUGAAAUCCCCGGGCUCAACCUGGGAACUGCAUUCAAAACUGACUGACUAGAGUGUGGUAGAGGGUGGUGGAAUUUCCUGUGUAGCGGUGAAAUGCGUAGAUAUAGGAAGGAACACCAGUGGCGAAGGCGACCACCUGGACCAACACUGACACUGAGGUGCGAAAGCGUGGGGAGCAAACAGGAUUAGAUACCCUGGUAGUCCACGCCGUAAACGAUGUCAACUAGCCGUUGGAAGCCUUGAGCUUUUAGUGGCGCAGCUAACG